rnacentral:rRNA from 1 species
GAACACGUGAGAAACCUGCCUUUCAUUCUGGGAUAACACCGGGAAACCGGUGCUAAUACUGAAUAUUGAAACAUAAGUGGCAUCACUGAGUUUUGAAAGAAUUUCGGUGGAGGAUGACUUCGCGGCCUAUCAGCUAGUUGGUGAGGUAAUGGCUCACCAAGGCGACGACGGGUAGCCGGCCUGAGAGGGUGACCGGCCACACUGGAACUGAGAUACGGCCCAGACUCC